rnacentral:rRNA from 1 species
CCUACGGGAGGCAGCAGUGAGGAAUAUUGGUCAAUGGUCGGGAGCCUGAACCAGCCAAGCCGCGUGAGGGAAGAAGGUCCAGCGUAUCGUAAACCUCUUUUGUCAGGGAACAAAGGCGGGGACUAGUCCCCGGAUGAGGGUACCUGAAGAAAAAGCAUCGGCUAACUCCGUGCCAGCAGCCGCGGUAAUACGGAGGGUGCGAGCGUUAUCCGGAUUUAUGGGGUUGAAAGGGUGCGCAGGCGGCCUGUUAAGUCAGCGGUAAAAGCCCGGGGCUCAACCCCGGCGAGCGGUUGACACUGGCGUGCUGGAGUUGGAGAGACGUACGCGGAAUGCGCGGUGUAGCGGUGAAAUGCUUAGAUAUCGCGCAGAACCCCGAUUGCGAAGGCAGCGUACCGGCUCCACACUGACGCUGAGGCACGAAAGCGUGGGUAUCGAACAGGAUUAGAUACCCCAGUAGUC